rnacentral:hammerhead_ribozyme from 1 species
ACCAGCUGACGAGUCCCCAAAUAGGAUGAAACUCGAGUCCUGGAU